GCCUGUCACCCCAGCUACUAGGGAGCUGAGACAAGAGGUUGUGAGCUGUUUGUUGUGAGCAACAAAGCAAAGCCUUGUGUGAAAAGAAAAGAAAACAUUGCCUCAAGGAACAGGAGAGUUAUAGAUUAGUUGCUAAGGGUAUUUGGGAUUGUACUCCUUCCCCAUUUUAUUUCACAUUCUGAGGGUUGAAGCCAGAACCUCCUGCAUACUAGCCAAGGACUCUACCACUUUCCCUCCCCAUUUGAAGAGGGUACUUUGGAGUUACAAAAGACACGUCUAUCAGAAAAAAUGAUUAACCAAUUAGAUGUGAACCCUGGUGCCUACUGGGGAGGAGUGCCAUGCUGCUGGGGCUGAAAAGUGCUGCUGUCCUUGGUCAUUAUCUGUCUGCUGAAAACAUGUGUCCAGCCUUCUCCAUCAGCAUUUCACAGCCCUUGUUGUUAAUCAAGAUCCAUUCCCAUGUCCCAGCAAGCAAGCCAGAAAAUUGCAAGACAGCCAUAAUAAAUGUUUGGUGGC